CUUGACCUUAUUACUAUUUUCUGCCAGUUCCCAGUUCUUCGCCAGAGUCGUUCAUUUAUUUUAGUAGUUCUCUCUUUGAAAAAAAAACAUGCUUGCUGUUUUCUCGACGCCACUAAUUUCUUUUGUUCUGUGCCAGCUCUAUGAAUUGAUGUAGAAAGGUUGUAAACAUAUUUAUAUGCUUAAAUAUUCGUCUUUCAUGCGUUAUUCAUCUCGUUUUCAACUUUUUAUGUCCCACUUCCCGCACACUCCGUCUAAAUUUAUCUACACACACACCUACACAUAUAUCGAUAAACACCACACACACAUAUAUACACAUUCAUAGUCACUCCACACAUACAUAUAAUAUAUAAGUGUAUGUAUGUAUGUAUAUAUAUACACACACACAUAUUCGUUCAUUUAACAUCCAUACAUUUUUGGCACCACACAUAUAUACACAUUCAUAGUCACUCCAUACACACACAUAAUGUAUAUGUGUAUGUAUAUAUACACACACACACCUAUACAUAUAUCGAUAAACACCACACGCAUAUAUACACAUUCAUAGUCACUCCAUACACACAUGUGUAUGUAUGUAUAUAUAUAUAUAUGUGUGUGUGGUAAGUAGCUUGUUUACCAACCACAUGGUUCCGGGUUCAAUCCCACUGCGUGGCACCUUGGGCAAGUGUCUUCUGCUAUAGCCCCGGGGCUAUAGCAGAUGGAAACUGAAAGAAGCCUGUCGUAUAUGUGUGUGUUUGUCCCCCUAGCAUUGCUUGACAACCGAUGCUGGUGUGUUUACGUCCCCGUCACUAGCGGUUCGGCAAAGGACACCGAUAGAAUAAGUCCCGGGGUCGAUUUGCUCGACUAAAGGCGGUGCUCCAGCAUGGCCGCAGUCAAAUGACUGAAACAAGUAAAGAGUACAUGCAUUCGUUCACUUAACAUCCUUACAUUUUUGGCAAAUAUCUAUUAAUAAGCAUUGAAAUCCAUAUGGUUUUCAGCAACAGUUUUGUGACUAUAUACAUAUUAGCAGUAUAGCCCGGCGUUGCUCGGGUUUGUUUCGACCCUUUAGAAUUGGAAUUUUUGAAAAGUAAAAAAUGUGCAUUAUGUAGCUUGUUAUUCUCUUUAAGUGAACAUUUUUCUGGCUGAAAUACACCGAAAAAUGGUGACACAGCAGUAAAAAAAUCGAAAAAAUAGGGAUUUUCAUAGAAAAAAAAAGCACCUUUUUGAUGUAAAUAAGUUUUGGUGUUAACAUGGUCCGAUUUGAAUUUUUUCUUCUACGGAAGGAAGAGCAAGCCUUCUUCUAUCAUACUCUCAAUUUUGGUCAACUUGCACCGCAGGGUCUCGGAGGAGAUAGUGUUAGUUGAAGGCUACCAAACCUGCCACACACAGACAACUUCAGCUUUAUAGAGAGAGAGAUUUUGGAUCACUUAAAAAGUUAUCUGAAGAGAGAAAAAUCACUUAGAUUUUAAAAUAAUAUAUAUUAUUGCUUGUACUUCUGCCCUCCCUUAGCUCCUCGUUUUUUUUUUUCUGUAAAAUAUAUUGCUGAGAACUUGCGACCAAUUCUCUCUCUCACAGAAAACUUUCCUUUCGAUGCGAAAGUGAGGCUGCACCAAACUCGGUCUUGCAGUUGUUACGAUGAGUAAGCUUUUUGUAAUGUUGGAAAUUGGUUAACUGAUUCCUCCUUCUCUGCGAGAUGAGGAUGAAAUGCUAUUUCGAAUGAAAGUGAAUUUCACUAGACUACUUCACAGUAGAUUAAAUGCUUAGUGGGGUGAUGCGUUUUAUAUCGCGAAAACUAUUGAAAAACGCUCACGGAAUUGUACACCUUUGGUAUAUAUAUAUAUAUAUAUGUAUGUGUGCAUAUAUAUAUAUUAUUGUCUUUAUUGCCCACAAGGGGAUAAACAUAGCGGGGACAAACAAGGAUAGACAAAGGGAUUAAGUCAAUUACAUCUACCCCAGUGUGUAACUGGUACUUAAUUUAUCGACCCCGAAAGGAUAAAGGCAAAGUCAACUUCGGCGGAAUUUGAACUCAGAACAUAUAUAUAUACAUACACACACACCGAUGUGUGCGUUAGUUAGUGGUUAGGUUUGAUCAAGUAGACCUAUGAUCGAAGACAUCGUUACUGUGACAAUCUCGUCUUUUUUUUUUUUUCAGGCAUAUUUAGGACUACGUUACGUAACAUGUUUUUCUUAAGACAACUGGACAUUAUUUGCAAGACAGUUUGGCUGCUCGAGUGCCCACGUAAAAGCUUUUUAGUUGGAUCGUCCCGUGACGUGGGGGGGGGGGGGUAAUAAAAGCUUUCGUGUUUUAGGUUUGCCUUUUCUUCAUACGCAAAUGUUCAGUAGACAUUUGAUAGAAUACGCAAAAUUAAGAAAUGCUUUGUUAAAAUGUUUAGAUACUGUCUUAAACGAACACACAAACUUUUGGUAUAGUAAUAUAAAUGAAUUGAUAUUUAGUUUGAAAUGUUAUUUGAAUUUAACUCUGCCAUGUGUAAGAAGAUUGUUUUCCUUUGAUAAACACCCUCCUUGCACGUGUUGUUUUCGUUGACACUGUUUUUAUAAAAUACGGUUACUGACAGAUAACCAAAGUUUUAUCGUCACAACAAAAAAUCGUUCAAUCACAUAGAAAUUUUAUCUGACUGGGUUACACUUGUCUUACAUCCCGUUGACGGUUACAUAUUGACAGUUUCUGGACGCCCGUCCCCUCUACUUGAGCAACGGUGAUGCACUAUGCUCCUUUCAUUUGUCAGGUGAUCACGUUACCAAUUUCAUUUAAUGGUCAUUUAUCUACCUAGAAAUAGCAGCCAAAAGUUUGUCACACUCUACCGCUUUAAACAAAGAAGAAAAAACGGCAUGUUGGUUAAUGGUGUCUGAGAUAACUAUGUCUGAAAAUUAGUAAUCUUGGUUUCUAAUGUAAUUUCAUUUACUUCUAGGUUGCUUUGUAGAAAUACAGGGUGUCCACAAAAACACUCCCUGGUUUCAUGACGCUAUGAUAUCUAACGUAAUUCAAAUACAUUGAUAAAUAUGGUGUCCCCUAAUUCCCUAACAAUAAUACUUCCUUUUAUUUUCAGGUGACUUACCAUCUUUGACGUGAACGCAAGGAUAUCCAAGAUGGCCGCCACCCCACAGCAACGCAGCUGGUUUGCUCUGGAAUUUGAAAGUACAGAGAGUGUUGUGACCGUGCAACGUGCUUUCAAACUCAAAUACCAUGUGAAUCCACCUACACCCAAGUUCAUUCGGAAAUGGCACGACGAUUUUAUUGAGAAUGGAUGAAUCUGUGAUUGGAGAAAGGAACAUUCAGGCUGACCACUUGUCUCAGAGGAAGUUGUUGAUCAAGUUAGAGGAGUAUUUUUGCACAGGCCCAAGACGUCCGUACACAGAGCUAACUAAGAGUUACAGGUUCCUAUAAGCACAGAUCUUACAUGCCUACAGUUUCACCCUUACAAGCUGCACUUAGUCCAAAACCUACACCUGGAAGACGAUGUGAAUUGAAUUUUGUACAAAUCUGCAGGCAUUAAUGGAAAAUGAUGACAACCUGCUGUCGAAGAUCAUUUUCAGUGAUGAGGCGACAUUCCACUUCAGGUCAAUAAGUACAAUUUGAAGAUACAGGGGAGUGAAAAUCCAUAUGCGACCCUGGAAACUGAUUAAGACUCACCCAAACUUAAUCUGUUUUGUGCUGUCAAAGCAGACUGUAUAUGGCCCUUUCUUCGUUGAUGAAUGAAUUGUUUCUGGUUAAAGUAACCUGGAGAUACAAAGCAAUUGGAUGUUUCCAUGCUGAGGGUGGUGAUCACUUUUUUCAGCAAGAUGGUGCACUGCCAUCUCCCUGUCAGGAGAUUUCUCAAUGAGCAUAUACCAAACAGAUGUUAUUGGUCAUGCUGGAAAUGAUGUCAAGAUGUUCUGCAAGUGGCCCGUGAGGUCACCAGACCUAACUGUUUGUGACCUCUUUCUUUGAGGAUACAUAAAGACCGAAGUUUACAUACCCACACUUCCUGCAACCUUGGAUAAGUUAAUAAAUUGUAUCACUGAAGCACUUCGCAUGAUCACUCUGGGUAUGCUGCAGAGAGUCUUGACUGGGAGAGAUUAUCGCAUCAAGUAACAAGAGAGGUGUAGCUACUAAUUGAAAGAAUAUUACAAUAAAGUUACAUAUUAUAUCUAUUUGAAAUCUGGGAGUGUGGACACCCUGUAUAUAAAUCGACCUUGGUACUUGAUUGGUACUCUAUUUUGUCCAAGAAAGAUAGCAAAAUUAAUUUGGGGGUGUAAAGGGCUG
rnacentral:lncRNA from 1 species